rnacentral:rRNA from 1 species
AUUGAACGCUGGCGGCAGGCUUAACACAUGCAAGUCGAGCGAGUGGCGGACGGGUGAGUAAUGUCUGGGAAACUGCCUGAUGGAGGGGGAUAACUACUGAAAACGGUAGCUAAUACCGCAUACAAUCAGAUGUGCCCAGAGGGGAUGAGCUAGUAGGUGGGGUAAUGGCUCACCUAGGCGACGAUCCCUAGCAGGUCUGAGAGGAUGACCAGCCACACUGGAACGGAGAAACGGUCCAGAGUCCUACGUGAGGCAGCAGUGGGGAAUAGUGCACAAUGGGCGAAAGCCUGAUGCAGCCAUGCCGCGGGUAAGAAGAAGGCCUUCGGGUUGCAAAGCACUUUCAGCGAGGAGGCGUUACUCGCAGAAGAAGCACCGGCUUACCCCGUGCCAGCAGCGGCGGUAAUUC